rnacentral:rRNA from 1 species
CACGCCGUAAACGAUGAGUACUAAGUGUCGGGAAACCGGUGCUGAAGUUAACACAUUAAGUACUCCGCCUGAGUAGUACGGUCGCAAGGCUGAAACUUAAAGGAAUUGACGGGCACCCGCACAAGCGGUGGAGCAUGCUGUUUAAUUCGAUGCUACGCGAAGAACCUUACCUAGGCUUGACAUCCCCGGCGAAGCUAUAGAAAUAUAGUGGAGGUUACCCGGGUGACAGGUGG